CUUCCCCCUCGGGGUGGAAACAAAGGGGGUUCGGCGCGCGGUGCGGAGCCUGGGGGAAAAGGGAGGAGCGCUCCGGUGGUCUGGCGCGCUGGGCUCGCUAGGUUUGUGCUGGCGAGGGGACGGGGUGGGACGGGCGACCCGGACCCAAGAAGUGGGAGGACCGCGCGUGUCGCGGCCUAGCGGCGAGGGGAGUCGCCUGCGCGCGCAGCGGAGGCCAGUGCGCCGGCGCAUAGGGAGCCCGGGUCUGUGAUCGCCGAGGCGGGAGUGAAGAUAGUCCAAGUCCUAAGAGACAGCGCCUCUCUCAUUCAGUCUUUGAUUAUACAUCAGCAUCACCAGCUCCCUCACCACCAAUGCGACCAUGGGAGAUGACAUCAAAUAGGCAGCCCCCUUCAGUUCGACCAAGCCAACAUCACUUCUCAGGGGAACGAUGCAACACACCUGCACGCAACAGAAGAAGUCCUCCUGUCAGGCGCCAGAGAGGAAGAAGGGAUCGUCUGUCUCGACAUAAUUCCAUUAGUCAAGAUGAAAACUAUCACCAUCUCCCUUACGCACAGCAGCAAGCAAUAGAGGAGCCUCGAGCCUUCCACCCUCCGAAUGUAUCUCCCCGUCUGCUACAUCCUGCUGCUCAUCCACCCCAGCAGAAUGCAGUCAUGGUUGACAUACAUGA
rnacentral:lncRNA from 10 species